rnacentral:rRNA from 1 species
GACGAACGCUGGCGGCGUGCUUAACACAUGCAAGUCGAACGAAGUGGCGCACGGGUGAGUAACGCGUAAUCCACCUGGCCUUCAGAGGGGGACAACAGUAGGAAACGACUGCUACUACCGCACACUGUAGGCGGUGAUUGCGUCGGAUUAGAUAGUUGGAGGGGUAACGGCCCCACAAGGCGAUGAUCAGUAGCCGGUCUGGGAGGAUGAACGGCCACAUUGGGACUGGGACACGGCCCAGACUCCUACGGGAGGCAGCAGUGGGGAAUCUUCCGCAAUGGACGGAAGUCUGACGGAGCAACGCCGCGUGAGUGAUGACGGCCUUCGGGUUGUAAAGCUCUGUUAAUCGGGACGCGGUACCGGAAUAGAAAGCCACGGCUAACUACGUGCCAGCAGCCGCGGUAAUAC